CUCCCAGCAACUCCUACCUUUACCUACUCGUGGUACUGGUCGGAGUACGAGCAACUUUAGGGAAGAUCGGGUAACCAACCCCGGUGGGAGCUUAGAUCGUAUACUGGCAGGAAAGG
rnacentral:ribozyme from 1 species